rnacentral:rRNA from 1 species
AACGUAGGUCACAAGCGUUGUCCGGAAUUACUGGGUGUAAAGGGAGCGCAGGCGGGAGAACAAGUUGGAAGUGAAAUCCAUGGGCUCAACCCAUGAACUGCUUUCAAAACUGUUUUUCUUGAGUAGUGCAGAGGUAGGCGGAAUUCCCGGUGUAGCGGUGGAAUGCGUAGAUAUCGGGAGGAACACCAGUGGCGAAGGCGGCCUACUGGGCACCAACUGACGCUGAGGCUCGAAAGUGUGGGUAGCAAACAGGAUUAGAUACCCUGGUAGUCCACACCGUAAACGAUGAUUACUAGGUGUUGGAGGAUUGACCCCUUCAGUACCGCAGUUAACACAAUAAGUAAUCCACCUGGGGAGUACGACCGCAAGGUUGCAACUCAAAUGAAUUGACGG